AUUGAACGCUGGCGGCAGGCCUAACACAUGCAAGUCGAGCGAGCGGCGUGGGGGUGAGGAAUGUAUGGGGACUGCCCGAUCGAGGGGGAUAACUACUGGAAACGGUAGCUAAUACCGCAUACUAUCGGAUAACCCAUAUGGGAUUAGCUAGUAGGUGAGGUAAUGGCUCACCUAGGCGACGAUCCCUAGCUGGGCUGAGAGGAUGAGCAGCCACACUGGGACGGAGACACGGCACAGACUCCUCCGGAGGCAGCAGUGGGAAAUAUGGCACAAUGUGCGCAAGCCUGAUGCAGCCAUGGCGGGUGUAUGACGAAGGCCCUAGGGUUGUAAAGUACUUUCAGUCGGGAGGCGUUACCGACAGAAGAAGCACCGGCUAACUCCGUGCCAGCAGCCGCGGUAAUUC
rnacentral:rRNA from 1 species